UAUUGGACAAUGGGCGCAAGCCUGAUCCAGCCAUGCCGCGUGCAGGAAGACUGCCCUAUGGGUUGUAAACUGCUUUUAAACGGGAAGAAACCCUCCGACGUGUCGGAGUUUGACGGUACCGUAAGAAUAAGCAUCGGCUAACUCCGUGCCAGCAGCCGCGGUAAUACGGAGGAUGCGAGCGUUAUCCGGAAUCAUUGGGUUUAAAGGGUCCGUAGGCGGGUUAGUAAGUCAGUGGUGAAAUCCGGCAGCUUAACUGUCGAAUUGCCGUUGAUACUGCUAGUCUUGAAUUACUGUGAAGUGGUUAGAAUAUGUAGUGUAGCGGUGAAAUGCUUAGAUAUUACAUGGAAUAUCGAUUGCGAAGGCAGAUCACUAACAGUAUAUUGACGCUGAUGGACGAAAGCGUGGGGAGCAAACAGG
rnacentral:rRNA from 1 species